UUACGGCCAUAUCACGUUGAAACACCGGUUACCGUACGAUCGACGAAGUAAAGCAACGCCAUACCUGGUCAAUACAUGGGUGACCGCUUGGGAAUACCAGGUGUUGUAAG